UACAGAGGGUGCGAGCGUUAAUCGGAAUUACUGGGCGUAAAGCGUGCGUAGACGGUUAUUUAAGUCGGGUGUGAAAGCCCCGGGCUCAACCUGGGAAUUGCAUUCGAGACUGAAUAGCUAGGGUACGGUAGAGGGAAGCGGAAUUUCCGGUGUAGCGGUGAAAUGCGUAGAUAAUCGGAAGGAACAUCAGUGGCGAAAGCGG
rnacentral:rRNA from 1 species